AUCUUUUUAGUAUAAAUAAAUAUGCUUGACUUCCAAUCAAGAGAUCUAAAUCUAGAAAAGAUA
rnacentral:tRNA from 1 species